GAUGAACGCUAGCUACAGGCUUAACACAUGCAAGUCGAGGGGCAGCAUUGGAGUAGCAAUACUUCAGAUGGCGACCGGCGCACGGGUGAGUAACACGUAUCCAACCUGCCGCUUACUCGGGGAUAGCCUUUCGAAAGAAAGAUUAAUACCCGAUGGUAUAAAGAGUUCGCAUGUUCUCUUUAUUAAAGAAUUUCGGUAAGCGAUGGGGAUGCGUUCCAUUAGAUAGUUGGCGGGGUAACGGCCCACCAAGUCUACGAUGGAUAGGGGUUCUGAGAGGAAGGUCCCCCAAUUGGAACUGAGACACGGUCCAAACUCCUACGGGAGGCAGCAGUGAGGAAUAUUGGUCAAUGGACGAGAGUCUGAACCAGCCAAAGUAGCGUGAAGGAUGACUGCCCUAUGGGUUGUAAACUUCUUUUAUAAGGGAAUAAAGUGAGGGACGUGUCCUUUUGUAUGUACCUUAUGAAUAAGAUCGGCUAACUCGUG
rnacentral:rRNA from 1 species